rnacentral:lncRNA from 1 species
CCUCUGCCACCAAAGCUCAUUUCUGCAAAAGAACAGAAACAAUUAUGAAACCAAUUUAAAUUUAAUCAGCCAGCAGCCUUUCAAACAACAGAUUGCAGCACUCUUAGUCAUCCUGUAGAAACCUGCCAACCUACUAUCAAGAUUGAGCUUAAAAUGUCCCUAUUUGGAGCAAUACGGAUCACCAAUAUUUAUCACAGUCA